GGGGUCCUUAUGCAGUCCUUAUGGGGCAAGGGGGUUUUAUGGGGUCUUAUGGGGGAUUUAUGGGGUCCUUAUGGGGUCCUUACAGGGUCCUAUGGGGUCUUACAGGGUCCUAUGGGAUCUGAUGGUGUCCUAUGGGGUCUUAUGGGGUCCCUAUAAAAUAAGGAGGUCCUAUGGGGUCCUAUGGGGUCUUAUGGGAUCCUUAUAGGGCAAAGGUGUCUUAUGGGGUCCUAUGGGGUUCUAUGGGGUCUUAUGGCAGAUUUAUGGGGUCCUAUGAGAUCCUAUGGGAUCGGAUGGGGUCUUAUGGGAUCUUCUGGGGUCCUAUGGGGUCUUAUGUGGUUUUAUGGGGUCCUUAUAGGGUCUUAUGGGAUCUGAUGCGGUCCUAUGGGGUCUUAUGCGGUCCCUAUAAAAUAAGGAGGUCCUAUGAGGUCCAAUGGGGUCUUAUGGGGUCCUUAUAGGGCAAAGGUGUCUUAUAGGGUCUUAUGGGGUCCUGUGGGGGAUUUAUGGGGUUUUAUGGGGUCUUAUGGGGUCCUAUUGCGUCUUAUGGGGGAUUUGUGGGAUUCUAUGGGGUCUUAUGGGCUCUUACGGGGUUUUAUGGGGUCCCUAUAGGAUAAGGAGGUUUUAUGGGGUCCUUAUGGGGUCUUAUGAGCUCUUAGGGGUUUUUAUGGGGUCCCUACAGGAUAAGGAGGUUUUAUGGGGUCCUUAUGGGGGAUUUAUGGGGUCUUAUGGGGUCCUUAUGGGGUCUUAUGGGGGAUUUAUGGGGCAUUUAUGGGGUCUUAUGGGGUCCUUAUGGGGUCUUAUGGGGGAUUUAUGGGGUCUUACGGGGUCCUUACAGGGUAAAGGGGUCUUAUGGGAUCUUAAGGGGGAUUUAUGGGGUCCUUAUGGGGCAAAGGGGUCUUAUGGGGUCUUAUGAGGAUUUAUGGGGUCCUAUGGGAUCUUAUGGGGUCUUAUGGGGUCCCAUAAGUUCUUAUAGGGUCCUCAUGGGACAAAGGGAUCUUAUGGGGUCUUAUAGGGUCCUAUGGGGUCCAAUGGGGUCUUAAGGGGUCCUAUGGCAUCUUAUAGGGUUCCACGGGGUCUUAUAGGGUCCUUAAGGGGUAAAGGCAUCUUACGGGGUCUUAUAGGGUCAUUAUGAGGCCAAGGGAUCUUAUGGGGUUCUGUGGGGUAUUAUAGGGUCCUUAAGGGGGAAAGGGAUCUUAUAGGGUCUUAUGGGGUCGUUAUGGGACAAAAGGAGUCCUAUGGGGUUCCAUGGGGUCUUAUAGGGUCCUUAAAGGGGAAAGGCAUCUUAUGGGGUCCUAUAGGGUCCAAUGGGGUCUUAUGGGGUU
rnacentral:lncRNA from 1 species